UCACGAUUAAACCAAAACCGGAUGCAUGUGCGGCUCCCUUUCACGGCCUCCCCCCGUCUUCACCUCCACCUAAUCAAUCGAUCCCCACGCCCCUAAUCCUUCCUAGGCGGCAAGCGCUUUAAGCAGCCAGCAAGGGGGGCAGUGGUGCAGAAAGGCGAAUCGCCCCAAUCCCACAAGAGGCGAGGGGAGAGAGGAGAGCGCGCAGCGGGAGCAGCAGAAGCCGCCAGCCAGCCAUGGCGGUGGGCGCGACCGCCACGAAGCUGCACAUGCCGUCCGCGGGCGGCCGCCGCCCGUCCCUGUUCCACCUCGCGGCCGUCGCGGUGCUCUGCACGGUGUCCUACCUCAUCGGCAUCUGGCACCACGGCGGCUUCUCCGCCUCCCCGGCCGGCGGCGUCGCCUCCUCCGUCUCCAUCGCCACCACCGCCUCCGUCUCCUGCGUCUCCCCCACCCCGACGCUCCUUGGCGGCGGCGGCGGCGGCGGCGACUCCUCGUCGUCCGCGCCGCUCGACUUCGCGGCGCACCAUACCGCGGAGGGGAUGGAGGUGGCGUCGGGCCAGGUGCACCGCACGUACGAGGCGUGCCCGGCCAAGUACUCCGAGUACACGCCGUGCGAGGACGUCGAGCGCUCGCUGCGGUUCCCGCGGGACCGGCUCGUGUACCGGGAGCGGCACUGCCCGUCGGAGGGCGAGCGGCUCCGGUGCCUCGUGCCGGCGCCCCAGGGGUACCGCAACCCGUUCCCGUGGCCGACCAGCCGCGACGUCGCGUGGUUCGCCAACGUGCCGCACAAGGAGCUCACCGUCGAGAAGGCGGUGCAGAACUGGAUCCGCGUCGAAGGCGAAAAGUUCCGGUUCCCCGGCGGCGGCACCAUGUUCCCCCACGGCGCCGGCGCGUACAUCGACGACAUCGGCAAGAUCAUCCCCCUCCACGAUGGAUCCAUCCGCACCGCCCUCGACACCGGUUGUGGGGUAGCGAGCUGGGGCGCAUACUUGCUGUCACGCAACAUCCUGGCCAUGUCCUUCGCGCCACGUGACUCUCACGAGGCACAGGUUCAAUUUGCACUGGAACGUGGUGUGCCGGCGAUGAUCGGUGUUCUUUCAUCCAACCGGCUCACCUAUCCAGCUCGUGCCUUUGACAUGGCACAUUGCUCCCGCUGCCUCAUUCCCUGGCAGCUCUACGAUGGGCUGUACUUGGCUGAGGUGGAUCGCAUUCUGCGGCCAGGAGGGUAUUGGAUUUUGUCUGGACCUCCAAUCAACUGGAAGAAGCACUGGAAGGGGUGGCAGAGAACCAAGGAGGACCUGAAUGCAGAGCAGCAAGCGAUUGAGGCAGUGGCCAAGAGUCUUUGCUGGAAGAAGAUCACGCUCAAGGAGGUUGGUGACAUUGCCAUCUGGCAGAAACCUACUAACCACAUUCACUGCAAGGCCUCCCGCAAAGUCGUCAAGUCCCCACCCUUCUGCUCAAAUAAAAAUCCAGAUGCUGCAUGGUACGAUAAGAUGGAGGCUUGCAUAACUCCUCUCCCAGAGGUUAGUGACAUAAAAGAGAUUGCGGGUGGCCAGUUGAAGAAAUGGCCAGAGAGGCUCACUGCAGUGCCACCCAGAAUUGCCAGUGGUAGCAUUGAGGGUGUCACUGAUGAAAUGUUCGUGGAAGACACCAAACUAUGGCAGAAGAGGGUCGGGCACUACAAGUCCGUGAUAAGUCAAUUUGGACAGAAAGGACGGUACCGCAACUUGCUUGAUAUGAAUGCGCGCUUUGGCGGCUUCGCUGCGGCAUUGGUGGAUGACCCUGUGUGGGUCAUGAAUAUGGUCCCAACUGUUGGCAAUUCAACAACUCUUGGGGUUAUAUACGAGCGUGGGCUCAUCGGAAGCUACCAAGACUGGUGUGAGGGCAUGUCCACGUACCCUCGGACCUACGACCUCAUUCAUGCCGAUUCAGUGUUCACGCUAUACAAGGACAGAUGCCAGAUGGACAACAUUCUGCUGGAAAUGGACAGAAUACUGAGGCCUGAGGGUACAGUGAUUAUAAGAGAUGAUGUUGAUAUGUUGGUGAAAAUAAAGAGCAUUACCGACGGUAUGAGAUGGAACAGCCAAAUCGUUGAUCACGAAGAUGGCCCGCUCGUCCGGGAGAAGCUCCUCCUUGUUGUAAAGACAUACUGGACACUCGGGGAAGAAAAGGAAUAGCAAUAACGUGAAAUAAAGUGUUAGAAAAAAUUGACAUAUUGGGCAAAUAUCGUAAUCGGCUUACCAUUUGCCUUGUGGAUUUGAAGUUUCUUUUUCCAUUUCAUUCUUUGGGUGGAAUAGUUCACAUAUGGAGUUCAGCCCUCGAUGUUUAGGUGUAAAAGAGGUGCUGAGAAGGAAACCCUGCAAAGUUUUUUACAUUAAAGGACAACCAAAGUAUUCCAGGUCUGGUUUCUACGGUCAGUAGCAUUCUUCAUGCGCUGUCAUCAGGCAUUUUAGUACGGAGUACCAGUGUACCACCAUAGUACGCCUACUCUCCCUAGAACAGUAGAACUACCGUGGAAUGUUUACAUGGCUAGACGCAAAUUGUC